UAUGAAGACUUCUCUGCUAGACUGGG
rnacentral:piRNA from 2 species